rnacentral:rRNA from 1 species
AGGAAUUGGCGGGGGAGCACUACAACGGGUGGAGCCUGCGGUUCAAUUGGAUUCAACGCCGGAAAGCUUACCGGGUCAGACAGCAAUAUGAAGGUCAGGCUAAAGACCUUACCGAAUUCGCUGAGAGGAGGUGCAUGGCCGUCGUCAGUUCGUAUCGUGAGACAUCCUGUUAAGUCAGGCAACGAGCAAGACCCGUGCCCACAGUUGCCAGCAUAUCCGCAAGGAUGAUGGGCACACUGUGGGGACCGCCGCUGCUAAAGCGGAGGAAGGAGCGGGCUACGGUAGGUCAGUAUGCCCCGAAUCAUCCGGGCUACACGCGGGCUACAAUGGUUGGGACAAUGGGCACCUACACCGAGAGGUGAUGGUAAUCUCCUAAACCCAGCCUUAGUUCGGAUUGAGGGCUGCAACUCGCCCUCAUGAAGCC